rnacentral:rRNA from 1 species
UACGUAGGUGGCAAGCGUUGUCCGGAUUUCCUGGGCGUAAAGAGCGCGCAGGCGGUCGUUCAAGUCGCGUGUGAAAGCCCCCGGCUCAACUGGGGAGGGUCACGCGAUACUGAUCGACUCGAAGGCAGGAGAGGGUAGUGGAAUUCCCGGUGUAGUGGUGAAAUGCGUAGAGAUCCGGAAGAACACCGGUGGCGAAGGCGGCCUGCUGGGCAGUGGCUGACGCUGAGGCGCGACAGCGUGGGGAGCAAACAGG